UACGAGGGGUGCAAGCGUUGUUCGGAAUUAUUGGGCGUAAAGGGCAGGUAGGUUGUCUCGUAAGUCUACUGUGAAAUCCCCGGGCUUAACCCGGGACGUGCGGUGGAUACUGCAAGACUAGAGUGCUGGAGGGGUUCGUGGAAUACCCGGUGUAGCGGUGAAAUGCGUAGAUAUCGGGUGGAACACCAGAGGCGAAGGCGGCGAACUGGACAGCAACUGACACUAAACUGCGAAAGCGUGGGGAGCAAACAGG
rnacentral:rRNA from 1 species